rnacentral:lncRNA from 1 species
UGUCAGAACAUUUCGGUGUUCCCUUCUCCCUAACUUUCCCAACAAGAAUAAGCAGGGAUGUUCUCGUCUUUUCUAUUGUUUGGCUACUAGCACAGGAGGCUCACUUCCAUCUUUUCAUUUUUGCUUAUGUUUAUAAGCUAAAAAUUAAACUUUUUAAUCUUAGAUUUAGAGUUAAUUUUGAGGUUUUUCACCGAUGUUUAUUUUUUAACACUGGCUUUUAGAUCGCCAAUGAUAGAUACAUAAAAGUUUUAUUUAUAAAUUAUUUUUUAUUUAUAAAUACGCCGCUUGGUUUUUUUAUAAAAAACUCCAAACAAUCACUUGUCGGUCAGCCACGAGGUAACUAGCUUGAGCUUUAGCUUGACUAUGAGGCAAUGUGGGUAGACAUCACUUUCAACAUGCAUUUGUUGUGUUUUCUAACGUGGAUCCUAUUCUCACAACGUGCACCGCCAAAUUAAGGUUUGGAGCUUUGGAUUAUGUGACAUAUAAAACUCUUAGUCCGACACACACAACUUUAAUUUAAGUUUUGUAUAGAGAAAGAUUAACAUAGAUGCACAUCUACGGUUAUUGUUUGACCGAUAUAUGGUGAUGCCUUUCUUGAGCUUUUGAAUCGACAAUUACACGUGGAGCACAAAAAAAUCACCCAGCCUAAGUAUGAUGCAACAACAUGAAGCAUCACAUUUACUAUGGUUGUAUUUCAUAAUACAUCCCAAUCCUAGUCC